UGUGUGUAUAUAUAAGGUUGUCGUUUUCCGAAACUGUUCUAAGAGUGUUUGGUCGACACUCGUCAAGCCAAGGCCUGGGAAUGUCUCAUCAUGUCGUUGGUCUCUGUCUCUCAAAUGACACCUGAUUUCAUAAAUAGUGCACUACUUUAGACCAGGGCUCUCCUAUGGGGGAUCCUAAAAAAGGGAAUUGGAGUACCGUUUGGGAUGCAGAAGUUGGUUUUUACACUACCGUUCGGCCUCAUUCCCAAUUCGGCUCCUAGCAUCUUGCCCCUAGUAGACGUUUGUGUAAAUCUGAGAGGAUUGUACAGGUAUUACCAAUAUGGUAAUCACCCCUGUGGCCUUCUAGGCUUCGGGUAAUUCAUGCCAUUUUUGAUGACUUAGUGCAUACUAUCUAGGGGUCAUUUGCUUACCUAGUGCACGCUAUCUAGGGGCUAGGGAUUGGUUUGGGACUGGACACUUUCAAGCAGCUCCCCCUCUUAUCUAUCUAAUGAAGCCGUAGCAUCAAACAGAAAAUCACUUGCGUCGCUAAGCUGAUAGCCCCACUACACUGUAAAUGUCAUUCGCUAAAGCUUCAUUGGAAUUCAAUUGGCUAAGCUAAUGGCUAAUGCUACAAUGUAAUUCUAUGAGUGAAGCUAAGCUGAAGCUAAUGCUACUGUGUCGUUCUAUUUUAGUGAAGCUAAGCUAACGCUAAGCUAAGCUACAAUGUAAGUCUGGUAGUGAAGCUAAUGCUAAUAUGUAAUUAAUGUCACUUGGCUCUACGGCUAAACUUAAUUAUUGAAAUCACGAUGCCUUUAAAAAACAAUAAAAAACACUCCCUAGCAAGAGACUGUUUUCUGUCUCACCACUGUCUGUUUUCUCACAAAGUAGUCUCUCUCACGUCACAUUUUUAGGUAGCCUACCAGUCGGUGUGUUUUUUUUUUUUAAUUUUCAUUUUUGUUCAUCACGAGGGAAUCAUUUUUCCCUAUGUUCAGCAUACAACUACAAUGUUUUCCCUCCACUGUAGAAAAAAAAAAAAACGGUUAUUGAAACGAUUGCCAAAAAUAUGUGUGUCCCAUCUUUGUUGUGGGUCAACAGGUGGACCUGUUCACCUGUUGCUUACCUGUCAUUGGUGCUGUACGACGUCGAAGGGGAUGGUUACUCUGUUACUAUGGGAACGGCUUAUGAUAACAUGUACUGUAACUGGCUCUAACUGAUUUUGAUUUGAGUUGUAACUUUUUUUUAUCGGUUUUCAUCUUGGAUCAAUGCUCGUAUGGCUGUUUUGUUUUUUGGUGUUAUUCAUUGAUUUAAAAAAAAAAAAAAAACCUGUGGAAGUUAUUUAGUUGGCAAUCGGUUCUCAAAUACAGGUCACCAGUUUUUGGACUUUCUUUUGAGGAAAUUCUCUUUUGUUCUGCUCUGUUUUUAAAUUGUGGUGCCUUGCCUCUUAACAAGUACGAGGAACAAUAUAACUGUUCUCAAAUCUGUGGUCCCCACUCAAACCCUAACCAGUAUAAGCUAACACAACUAUGAAACUGGCCUGGGAUCAUUUCUUACGUGAUGAUUUUUCCUCCCUUCAUAUUGGUGUUGUCUCCUGGGUCGUUAUUCACUAGGAAACUCAAACGGAAUCAAACUCUGCAGGCAACGACCUGAACUUGUCUCAAUAAGAAACGCUUGUUUUUCCCCAUUGCAAAACAUUCUGCGUGAUUUGCACUAAUGAAUACAACCCUGGCUCCCCAUCCCAAAAAAAACAGUUUUCCUCCGUUCCCUGUUACAGCUAAACCACUCGUAUUGCCUUAGCGCAGCCUAUGGAGUGAGCCAUCACUGGUUCUGGUGUGUGAAGGCAGGAUUUUUGUUCCAGCUCUUAACAUACCUCAUUUAAUCUAGCCUAAUCGUGGUCAACAAAUCAAUUCAAGACCAGGAGUAGUGGAUUCAUUUUCUUUUAAACUUUAUUUAACUAGGCAAGUCAGUUAAGAACAAAUUCUUAUUUUCAAUGACAACCCACUGUUCCUAGACCAACUGCCUGUUCAGGGGCAGAACGACAGAUUUGUACCUUGUCAGCUUGGGGGUUUGAACUUGCAACCUUCCGGUUACUAAUCCAACGCUCUAACCACUAGGCUAUCCUGCCGUGUUUGAGCUGGGUCGGGACAAAUACCUGCACACACACAACUCUUUUAAGACGAGAGUUUUGUUUCCCCCGGCCUUAUCUAUAGUGUAGAUGAACCUAACGCAGAAAUAGCCACCACUCUGUGGUUGUCUGGGUGGAAGACCCUGAUCUGAUGCCCUAAUUCACACUAAAUGGAGGCUUGACCAGUUCAGUACAGCUCGGGUUUGUCCCUAUAGUUGUGAAUCAAGUGUUUGUUUGUUUAUUUUUGCUUUCCUGAGAACUGAAACGAUAAUACUCUUAACAUGCCAAAUGAAUCAACUUUCCCCCCCGUUUUUAACUUUGUGUCUGCAAUCUGAACUGGGACCCUAGUCCAUAUACAGGUCAUUACCUACAGAGUCUAAAGUAUCACUAUGGUAGGGAAUAGGUUGCCAGUUCAGACAAAGUCUGUGUUUUUUCCUGCUUUUGGACCUCUUGAAAGCCAGCUUUUUUUUCUUUUUUUUUACACCACAUAAAGAAGGCAGAACAAAAUAAAUCAAAUGCAUUGAGUUUGUUUUUUAAAAAAUGUCUCUGAAUAAAAUGUCUUUGUCUUCAGGCUCUCUUGGUUGAGCGCGUCACUCUAAAAAAAAGGGCAGGUCUGACAGCAUUGGAGAAAGGAAAGGUCAAGAAAUAAAAGUUGGGAGUUGGCUUCUUGUCUCUCUGUUUUCUUUCCUGUACUUGGUUUGAUCCAUCAAUUCAUCAUGUUCAUUCCUCCUCCACCCGGCCAUGUGGACACGAGGGUUGGGGUCCAGUCCUCUUCAAUUCAAGGCCAGACAGUGGUUAGAGUGUAGAGGCGGCAGGGUAGCCUAGUGGUUAGAGCGUAGGGGCGGCAGGUUAGCCUAGUGGUUAGAGCGUAGAGGCGGCAGGGUAGCCUAGUGGUUAGAGCGUAGAGGCGGCAGGGUAGCCUAGUGGUUAGAGCGUAGGGGCGGCAGGGUAACCUAGUGGUUAGAGCGUAGAGGCGACAGGGUAGCC
ensembl:lncRNA